AAUCCGAGAGAGGCGGACAGCACCCCGGGGUGGACAAAGAUGGGAGAGGGAGCGGAGACAGAGAGGGAGAUAAAAUAAGGAAAUAAAGGUAAGUCCCACAGAAGGAAAUUCCAAGAGGUGGGCAGGAAUGGGAGGAAGGGAAUCAAGCCUCUGCUCCUUGUGUGUCCCCAUCCUUGUGCCUUUUGGGCCCACCCCACCUCCAUCCCCCAUCCCCAGACCCAGCACUUCCCCGGGGCGCCCUGAGAUCACUGGGUCCAGCUCUGUCUCCUCCCACCAGCUGGAUCACUCGCCCAUUCAGGGCAGGAACGGGGGUGCCAUCCGUCUUGGGGUCCCUGGCAUUACCCUAUGCAGGGACUGGGUCAUAAGUGGCACAGAUGGUGCGGACGCAGGGGCAGGAGGCCCACGGAGGGGGACACUCACUUGACAGAGGCAGCACUGGGCCAGCGCCGCCCCAGCUUGGCCAGCUGCUUCCUGGGGGAGUUGAUCCACAGGCCCACGGGGAGAUGGAGCUUCCCGAAGCGGGGGCUUCCGCCCUCUUUCCGUUCACCAGACAGCAUGGCCCUAAGGGAAGCCCCCGGAGGCCCUGGCUCCGUCGGUUCCUGAUCCCACUGCUCUUGUUCAGCCUUUGCCUCUGCCCCAGCUCCCAGCACUGGGUGGGGGACAGGAAAAGGCCAGAGGAAACCCGGCAGGAAGAGCGGGGAGGGGGCGUCCUGUGAGCGGACCAAGCCUGGAGGAGGAAAUCUGGGUAGGGCUGGCCCCGCCGCAUCAAGGGCUCUGGAAUCCUUUCGGUGCCAGUUGCUUCCCUGCAGGACCCAGGGGUCCCGGUCCCCAGCCCCACCCCACCCCCUCCCUUCCUUCAGGAACCCAUCCCAGACCUCUCCUCUUGGGUAACCAAAAGUUAGGAGCAUACCGGAGGAGUGAGUCAGAUACUUGGACAACAAUAUAAAUCUUUAUUGGUUCCUUGAGUCUGUGGCCUUUUCCUUUGGCACCUGGGGUUGCCGAACAGCCCCCUUGCCAAAGCUAACUGGGGAGAGCUUUUAGGAAGACCUCGCCUUGCGAUAUUGAAGGUAAAAUAUCCUGGGCCGGGGGAGGAAUGCAAACAACGGACCCGGGUUAGGUUCUGGGUUGAGGGCUGAGGGGCACCCCUCCUUGUGCCCAGCAUCUGACCAUUUUCUAGUGAUUCUCCCAAGCCCCGCCCUCCUUACCCGCCUCCCGAGUAGGCUCCACCCCCUUGGGCCUCAGGCCGCGGGAAGCCCCGCCCCUCCCUCCCCCGCCCGCCUGGGUCUGUGCGCCGCUCACCCGCCUGCAAUGCCCGCGAUGACCACCGCGAAGCUCCCGAUUGCCAUCCCCAGGAGACGGCCCUGCAGCACCUUCUCGGGCUUCGCGGGCACUGACCUGUGACCUGAUAGCUGAUGAUCGUGGCUGGGUUGGAAAUCACGGUGCCCAGCUCACAGCGGUACUUGCCUGCAUCCUCCGGCCCCACCAUGGUCUUGGUCAAGGGUCCACCUCGCUCACCCCCGCAGUCCUUGGACUUCCGACAAGGGUGAACCUGCUUGUCGCAGCCCUCGCACCAUAUCAGAGUCUGCAGCAUCAUACCUGAAGGGGCAGGGCCAAGGCUCGUACGCGCCCUCUAAGAGGCGGGGCUAAACGGGAAGGGCGGGGCCGAGGGGUGGGGCGGGGCCUUGGGCCAGCCCGGGGGCGGAGCUAGAACGCAGCCGGGUAGAAGGCAAGAUCCAACGCGGCUGCCUAAAGAGGGGAAACAGAGGAGCCUUCCCCACCCCCCCCCCGAAGAAGUCCCAGGUGCAGAAAGGAGACCCGGGAAAUUCUCAGACGCAGAGAAUGAAGACACCACUGCGACCCCAAAAGGGGAGAGGGAAGGGCUGGGUCUUCAUGGGACAAAGGGUGAGGAAAAGAGGGUUAGUUGCCACAAGCCCGACUCACCGCAUUUGUUGGGACAAAAAGCUGCCUCGGAAGGAAAAUACAAGAAAAAAGAGACAAUCAGAUUUCUAAGUCAAAGGGGAAUGGAAGCGGGGGCGGAGGAAAAAGCUGGGGCUUGGACUCGAGUUGAAGGGAAGAGGAGGUCGGAGGGGCUAGGGAUGGAGGUCCCAGGCUCUAGCUUUCCCUCACCCUCUUUUACGAAUUGAGCAGCGUGGCGGGCAAAGACCUCCUUUUGCAGGUGCAACAUCCAGAAUAUCUCCUUCACGAAGAGUUCAUCUGGGAAGAAGCGGGGUGGCGCAGAGUGGCCCCCUCCCACCCCAUCCAAGCUACUGGUCUCCAUUUUAGAGACGAGAAAGCUGUGAAGUCCCUUGCUCCGGGCCACGCAGCUAGAAAGUGGCAGGACUGGAAUUUGAACCAAGGCCGUCGGGCUCCAGACCAGGCUUCUCCAGCAAUCAUGUUCCUGAAUAAAUCUGGGGGGGUCCCCACUCCCCUCCUCCCUGCAUCUACCUUUAACCCCACUGUCAGUGAUGCGUUUCAGAUCCUUCAGGAAACUCCAGGCUACCUUUUGCAGGGUGGGCUCAUCUGUGGGGGCAGAUAUAACCCGACGACGUUCUAGCGUCACUUUCAUUGACUGGUCUAGUCUUAGAAACUACAAUACCCAUGGGGCCUCCAGGCACAGAUAGGCCUGGUUAAGGGAUUAUCCGCCCGUUGCCUUCUGGGAGCUGUAGUUUUAUUACAUAAAGUUGAAGGCUAAGGGAAGGGGGACACUGUAUUUGUUAGCCUUGGGGAAUCCCGGAAUCUGCAACCUCACCUUCCCCAUUUCCAGAAUCCAGGAGAGUCUGCCCCCAGCCCCCUCCUCCCUGUGGAUCAGCAGCCUUGGCCCCAGUCUUCUCCUUCCCCAGGACCCGGCAGGCUGAGCCCCCGCCCUUACCGACAGCCCCCAUGUAGGAAUCUUCGUCAAGUGGCAGUUCCUUGAAAUCCCUCAGGGCAUCCUCGACCCUCUUCAUCACAUUUUGGCGAGCAUCGGCCGACAGGUGACUAGGACUAAAAUUAAGGAUGCUGGUGGAGGCGAGGGUGAGGUUGGUUGCGCGAUGCCGAAGGCUUUUCUCUUGGGGUCUGAGUCACGGGUAGCCCCUCUCGACAAGGAGCUCCCGCAGCCUCCCGGUUGGAGCUUCCCACGUGGGGUCGCCAAAAUUCCCCAGUUUUUCCCUGGGGCUUUUCUUCGCCCCGCCCAGAAGCCCAACUCUGAACCCGAUUGGGCCGCAACAAAGGGAGGCCCGCCCAUCUCUUCAUGACGUCACAGAGACGGCCGCCCGUUCACAGUAAGACUUUCCCAGCCUCUAAAGAAGCGCCCUCUGCCUGCUCCUGCUCGCGGAGGCGAGGACCGGCUUCUGGGCUUCAGCUUCCUCCCCUCCCUUGGCCCCAGGACCCAGGCUUCCGGGCCCUUGGAAACCUGGCGUCGGACCACGAAGACGCGGAAGGGCGGCGGAGUCUAGCUCUAGGACCACGACUCCCAGAAGGCCCCGGGUUGCUUUUUUGAUAGCAAUUAUCGCAGCCAACCCCGUGGCCUUAAGGGAAAUGUAGUUCAACAAUGAUACUUUUCGUUCAUGUCCCCUCCGCAGCCUGUGAGGCUGGACGCCAAAGUCUCAGAUCUGCAGUCCAAUCCCGAGGGUCCUGGAGAAAGCAAACUGGGGGCUCAGACCUUUUGGUCCUGUAAGGUCUUUCUCCUUAACUUUUUGCAUCAUUAUUACAGGCCACCAGAAAAACAGGGAACCACAAGUGUUGCAGUGACCAGGGGCCGCCAGCCUCCAAGAAAGCUGCAGAGACUAGGAUUGAAGAUGUGGCUUUUAAUUCACACCUCCUUCUCUCUCACCUGUGGCAGCUGAGCUGGGAAUGGUCCCCCAAAACUCCUGGAGAAGCCUGGAGAAGGGGCUCGGAUUCUUAGAUGGGUGGCUGGGGGAUGGGAGCAGA